GAAAACUAAUAAAUCUUUACCCACAAGUUAUGUUAAAUAAUAAAAUAAAAUUAUCAUCCGACUCACUGUGAAAAAGAAAGGAUUGCAGUUCAAUGUGGUAUCUGGAUUAUGGAUUGUCUCUUGUGUUUGGGGCACUAACUAAUUUUCUGGAUUGUCUACAGGAUUCUUCUUACGGGAAAUUGAACUGCUUGUUCUUCGGAAAUAGGGUCUUGGAUGAUCUCGAAGAAGUAUCAGUAGUUCUCGGAAUAGGUUGUAGGAUGAUUCUCUUUUUAUUUUAAUAUCACAUACAUUGGAGUACACGCCAAAUUUCAACAAUGAGUAAAGUUA